rnacentral:rRNA from 1 species
GAUGAACGCUAGCGGGAGGCCUAACACAUGCAAGCCGAGCGGUAGAGUUUCUUCGGAAACUUGAGAGCGGCGCACGGGUGCGUAACACGUGUGCAACCUACCUUUAUCUGGGGGAUAGCCUUUCGAAAGGAAGAUUAAUACCCCAUAAUAUAAUGAUUGGCAUCAAUUAUUAUUGAAAACUCCGGUGGAUAGAGAUGGGCACGCGCAAGAUUAGAUAGUUGGUGAGGUAACGGCUCACCAAGUCAAUGAUCUUUAGGGGUCCUGAGAGGGAGAUCCCCCACACUGGUACUGAGACACGGACCAGACUCCUACGGGAGGCAGCAGUGAGGAAUAUUGGACAAUGGGUGAGAGCCUGAUCCAGCCAUCCCGCGCGAAGGAUGACGGUCCUAUGGAUUGUAAACUUCUUUUGUACAGGGAUAAACCUACCCUCGUGAGGGCAGCUGAAGGUACUGUACGAAUAAGCACCGGCUAACUCCGUG